CCUACGGGUGGCUGCAGUCGAGAAUCAUUCACAAUGGGGGAAACCCUGAUGGUGCGACGCCGCGUGGGGGAAUGAAGGUCUUCGGAUUGUAAACCCCUGUCAUGUGGGAGCAAAUUAAAAAGAUAGUACCACAAGAGGAAGAGACGGCUAACUCUGUGCCAGCAGCCGCGGUAAUACAGAGGUCUCAAGCGUUGUUCGGAAUCACUGGGCGUAAAGCGUGCGUAGGCUGUUUCGUAAGUCGUGGGUGAAAGGCGCGGGCUCAACCCGCGGACGGCACAUGAUACUGCGAGGCUAGAGUAAGGGAGGGGGAACCGGAAUGCUCGGUGUAGCAGUGAAAUGCGUAGAUAUCGAGAGGAACACUCGUGGCGAAGGCGGGUUCCUGGACAUUAACUGACGCUGAGGCACGAAGGCCAGGGGAGCGAAAGGGAUUAGAUACCCCUGUAGUC
rnacentral:rRNA from 1 species